GAAACAAACACACCAUACCUACAGCGUUGUCCCUGCUUGCAAACAGGAUCUAUGUGACUUCCCAUGAGAGCAUCCAGCAACUUGCACAGGCCAAGGAAAUUCACAUCCUUCUCAAACUCAUUGCAGCCUACAGCCCUGUGCUGCAAAUUGCUUUGGAAAGUCAAAGCCCUGGGUUUAAUAAAUCCUUGCAUACAUCCUUAGGACAGACCUGGGUAAAGGACUGCUGUAAGAAACACAGCACUAACCCCCAGUGCCUCUCAGAGGUAGAAUCCAGGCUGCUGUAGGAUAUAUAUUCAAACAGUGCCCUCAGGGUGCAAACCUUCACAGUACAGACAUCUCCCGAAGGAAGGGGAAAGAGAAAACCUCAUUAGGGUUUAACGAGCCAGGAGACAGCCCUGUAACAGAGCCCACCCUGGAGUCUGUGCUCUCCUGCCUCUCAGUUUGAUGGCUGUCAUACCGCCGCAGCUAUGAGGUAAAACUCCAAGCAGCAGCCCUGUAAACAGCACAUUUCAUUACAGUCCUUCUCCAAAAAAAGUUUGCAACCAAGACUGGGUGAGAAAUAUUUAACACACAGAAUGAGGAUUUGUGGUAGAACAGGAGAUGGAAGCAGUCAUGGCUGCAAAUUGCCCCCGAGCACAGCAUUCAGCUGCCUGCCUGAGGUUCACACCUGCAACACUGGGAUGGGGUUGCUCAGCCAGCCAAAACACCUGGAGAAAACAGCAGGAAUAACACAGGGCUUGGCUUUCCCAGCUUCAACCAGAGAUUUUUUUCCACUUCUUCUAUACAGUGGUUGUGAGCUCUUUUCUUCCAGACCUCGCAUUGUUGUGACUGUCCUUACCUUACUCUCAUGGCUGGAAUUGAUCCCUACAAGGCACCUUAAAGGACCCAGAUGCAGAAACCUUGGUUGUAUUUGACAGCCAGUGUAUGACAGCAUGGCCACACGCUGCUUAUAUAUAUACUGGAAUGCGGUUUCAGAGCCUGCAAGCCAUGAGAAUGAUUGCCCCCAGCCAGCACACCCAUGGCUGGAUGCUUUUGGAUAAAAGCAGUGCUGUCAUGCAUGCCCCACAGCACAGGGUCUCCUACAGAUGGAAGCAGAGCUUUGCAAAUUCAAGUAUUUCGGGGAAAUGAGCCAUAUCCCUGUUUUAACUGGCUAUAUCUGGAAAGAGAAUUGGCAACGAGGUGGAUUAUGUUGGCUGGAAAGAGCAGCCUCUCCCACAGGACCGGACAGAGUCUGAGAUGAUGAGGAAAUAGGCCAAAGAGAAGCCGCAGCGCAGAGCAGACUGGUGUUCCCUGUUCCCACGGAGAAGCUGACCCAUGAGAGAUGCUAGUCAUCCAGCAGCUGGGAAAGCUGCUUUGAGCAGGAGACAGCAGGACUGCCACAUCUGGCCGAUGUAUCUCCGUUUGGAUAUUCCCUCAUAAAGGUAGAUAUCUGCCAACGCCAGCCAACAGCCUGCAGAGUCCUGCUGCCCUCAUCACCGUUUCCAACCCCACCUCUCCUCCUGUGCUCCAUUCUGGGCCCCAUGGUGCCUGCAGAUGCCAGCCCACGGCGGCUCUCUCUGAGCAGAACAGCCCCGUUGUUCCGCCGUGCCGCGCUGUCUGCCUGUGCCUGCCUCGGCUGCUGGCCACGUCGAGGUCGCAGGGCGCUGGGACAGAGAGGGCUUUGUCUGCUGCACAUCUAUGCUGCCAAGUGCAACGGGCCAGCCUGGUACUGUGCUCCCUAAAAAUAGCUUGCCCUGCAGAUAACCCGCAGCUUUUAAAUGCCGUAGGUCUCGAUGAUAAGCCUUCACAUCACCCGUGCAACACCAGGAGUAAAGGUUCUCCUCCUGGGGCAAAGAGAAAUGCUCUGAAUAGGCGCAGAGCAGAACAGAGAAGCAAUACAGCCUGCAUACACCCACUUCAUGCAGAAGGAACUAGUGUUGAAGGGCCUGGGGAACAGAAGUGUGCAACCUGCAUCUGCAUGCAAAUAUAAUGCAACAGCUGCUGAGCCAUGGGCUGCUGUGCAGAGAGCCUCCAGGUUCUGUGCAUGGAGACACAGCGUUGCUAGCCCCAAAAGUGAUCUGAAAGAACAAUGAUGCACCUAAAUCAUCUGGAAAAGAUGUUUAGCUCCUUCUUUUCGCAAUGGUAUAUAUUUUGGAUAAAAAAAAAACACAUCCAGAUUGCAUUUUACCCUUCCACAUUUUGCAACAUAGCCAUUUACUCUUUCACAUUUUAUUUUAAUAACAGGGGAGUCAAGUGAGCUCAACUGACAGGUUGGUUCCCAGGGAAACACAAGCAACUUAUUUCUCUUCAAUAGCAGGCACAAAUGUUUCCUGUGUUAAACCAGGCAGCCUGCUGUGACAUUCAGAGCCCUGGUAUAUAAUACCUAAAGGACACAAGGUGUGUGCAUGGGGUGGGGAUGGAGGAUGGUGUCAACACCUGCAGAAAGGCGUGCAGAAGUGGUGAGCUGCACCAGAAGGAAUCUGGCCCCUACAUCAGCUUUGGAAACAGGUCCUUGUUCCCAGUUGUGGGUCUGCUGGACUUUACCCAUGAAAUCUCAGCAAAUCUCUCUUCCAAACAUUUGCCCAUUCACCUCUUGAACCUCCCUAUACCCACAGUAAUCUUCAGCAAGGAGUUUACAGCUCAGCCACUCACUGCAUGAGGACUCAUCUCCUUUGGCUUUCCAUAUCCCACCAUCAUCAUUGCUGGCACCCAGCCCUUGUAUGGGCUGUGACACUCACACCAUACUGGCACUUAGGAUUUUCUAACCUCUCUGGUGUGCUCCCUCAGCACCUAAAACCACAUUCUGCUUUCACUCAUCUCCCCCGAGUCCAUAUUCAAGGGGUUUAUAAGCGAGCAGGUGAUGACUUGGCCUCCUGACAAUGUUUCUUCCCCUCCUUGGACAGUUUGCUUUUAGCUCAAAAAAAAAAAAAAAAAAAAAGAUAGUGAAAUACAAGUUCAGCAUGCCAAAGUUUCCAGGUGCCCAAUGUCCUGUUGCCAGGACGCUGAACAAACAGCCAACAAACAUGACCAUGGGGCUUUGUUCUGCCAGCUGGAAACCUCAGGUCACGCUGCACCUGGAUACCACUGUGACAAAAUCCUCAGGAGAAGGUGAUGUACAGCUGAGCAAAGCACUACAGGGCAGUGCUUUCAUCUCCAAAAGGAUCCCAAAAGAGACUUGGAUUUUUUUUAAUGGAAUUUCUGGGUUGUUUGGGGCUUUUUUUUUUUUUUUUUCAGUUUACCAAGGAACAUUCUCAAUGAAAAGGUCUCUGUCCAUGCAAGUGACUCAGCCCAGCUCAGCAUCUGUGAUUCAUUGCCCUUGAGCAUGCCAGUGGUACCUGGUGACCUGUGUGAUGUGGAGUCUCUUCCUCCCCCGAAACAACCUUAAUAAAUGACACAGGCAGUGUGAGUUAGGCAAUGGGACCACAGACAGCAGGUGUCUGUCCCCCUUGGGUGCUCAGUCCACUGUACAACUAGUUGAGCUGAAUCUACCAUCCAACCAAGCAGUGAAUUCACUCAGACACAGUCACUGCAGAAUUCAAACCACUUCCCUGAGCUUUCCAUGAGCAUAAGAGAGAAAAAAAAAAUAACCAAGGUUACCAAAAGGAAAUUAUGUGGGCCAAACAUCAAAGGUGAAUGAGGAUCCUUCAUGGAAUUACUUGCUCAUGGACACACAUUCGGGUCAUCUGUCCCAGCCCAUCUCCAAUUGGAAACUUCUCUUAUCAGGUCGUUUUGAAAAAAAUGAAAUGAAAGAUGAGACAGAUUUCUAAUGCAGAAAUGGCAAAAGUGCAUUCAGGAACUCAUUCCUAUUUUCUGCAUUUAGGCCAAAUACCCAAAUAACCAGCAGUUCCCAAUGGCUUGAUGUUCCAUGUCUGAAUCUUGCAGAUACUUUCCAAAGAAGGAGAAAAAAUGUCUCAAAUGGAAUAGCUGUGAUCCCACGCAAUUUAAGCAUAAAUCUUUGAAGAUAAGAAUGGCUAGCUGAUGGUCAGGUUGGAUAUUAGGAAAAAGUUCUUCUGUUAAAGAAUGGUGAUGUAUUGGA